CAGAUCAGACACAAGAGCAGAACUGUGUUUGCAUUUGCUUUCCCUACCAUCACUCUGUGGUGAUGCAUAGCCCUGGGGUGAUGAUGGAAGGGAAAGUGUUAACUGCCUCCCUCUGGCACAGGCAAUCUGUUGACCCCACUGGGAUUUGCUGGCCACCUGAGGCCAUGUAUUUAUUGUAGGGUGGGGGCUAAAGGCUGAUUUGGGUGUUGGUCACCUGUGGGUGGGGUGUUGGGACUGGGAGCAGCGUGAGCUCUGCUCCUCCCCGGGCUGGGACCUGGCUUUGUGCUGGAGGAGCUCUAUCUGAUUUGCUUUGUUUCCCUAGAGCUGUGCUUUAUCGCUUCAUUUUUCUACUUAGCUUUCUCCAGCCAGAUUUCUUGGUGGAUGAGCGGUGCCUGGAUACGUCUCCAGAGAUUGUGUUCAGAUGGUGCCAAUGGAGGGAUGGGGAUGAUGUGUGUCCUGGCCAACUUCAGGUGGAUGAGCUCCCAGCCUGCUUCCUGGGGAUGCCUGGGAGAACAGACAGCAAGUUCAGUGUCAUCGCUGCAUGGACUGCAUGGAGCUGCCCUGAGUGCUGCCCAACAUGUACGGCUGUCACCCUUGCUGCAGGCAUCAGCCCAGGUGCAUAAAUCCCAUGGAGAGAGGCCGGUAAUUCCUGUUUGCAGGAUGCAGUUCUCCCUGUUGCGAUUUGUGCCACCACGGAAAAGCCCAAGCUCCCCUUUUGAAGCCCUGGGAACACGGAGGUGUGGCCCUGAGCAGAGGAGCUGGACAGGAACACUUCUCUCACAUCGUCCUUGGUGAGGGGAUGACAUUUAGUUGCUGCCAUUGUUCCCAGGCACGAGGCUGCACCAGCAUCACCAGUAUUAGUAGCUUUCUCCCAUCCCUCUUUCCUUCUCCAGUCCCUUCUUUUUGUAUGCAGGCCUCUCGUGUAUCCCCUUUGCUCUGUGCCUUUGCAGACAUUGGGCAGGCAGCGUUCCUCCUGGUGCACAGCGACCGUCCCCUCCUCCCAGCCUGGGGUUGUGUGCGAUGGAGUCUGGGUGCCAUCCCUCACCCACAGCCCUCCUCCAGCCGCAGAAACGAGGAGCAGAGUCUGACUAUUGUUAUGUUUGAGUAAAUUAACAGUUACAGCAUUUUGCAGAGCUCUGCACAAUCGCAGGGCAGGAGCAGUGCCUGUUUCCAGCUGCUUGACACGAACCUUGCUGAACAAAACUGCUGUCAGAGCCUGGUGCCCACCCAGAGCCAUGAGACAGAUGUGUGUGAGCGGAAGAUUCCAUAUUAGAGCUGACGUUGAUCCAAUUGGAGGUGUCUCUUCUGCUACAGCAGACAAGAUUGCCAACCAAGAGCUACGAGUGAUAUUGUUCUGGGCUCCAAGGAUGCUGUGCGUCUCUUCUCCCUCAUUUCACAGAGGAUGAGGUCCCAGCCAGCACUGCCGCUGAGGUGCAGAGUGGCGCUGGAUGAGGUGAGGGUACCCAAAGCUGCUUUUGAAGGAGGGGGCACUGUGAAAAGUGUGUGAGGCUGUGAUGAUGCUCUGCAGGGUGCUGAGGACCCUUCUCUGCCGCACUGAUAAUGCUACCUGGAGGCACAAAGGACUCCUUGGGGCAAAGCCCUUCUGCAGCCUGCACUCCCUCACAGGACACAGCUGCACAGCUUCUCACCACAAGCAGCAGGAUCCAUUCCAGCCAUGACAUAGCUUUGGUUUCCCUGGCCUCUGUGGCUUGCAUCUCAUGUGGACCACUGCUCUCCCAGCCAGCUGCUCGUCUGCUGCCAUUGCCCUGCCCACAUGUGCUGCGAGCAGAGCAGGACCCCGGUGCCGGCCUCUCUGCACACUCUGCCCAGCCCCACGGCGAUGCCCAGAGCAGGUUUCCUACAGCUCAGCACAAUCAUGGGUAUGCACAGGGAGCACUCCCAUCCAUCUGCUGAACUCUUUGGGAAAAAUAUAAAGAAGCCAAACAAUGAGUGAGUACAAAAGCAUAUGUGAAGAAUUGGCAAGGAGUGUUCCCUGACUCACAGCAUCCAUGCUUCUGCAUGUCUGCUCCACGCACAGAUCGUUGCCUCUCCUUGCCUUUGCUUUAAUUAGUAAGGGCUGAGCACACUCUGGGAACAUGCUGGAAGAGGAGUGAUGAACAAAACAGCAGCUCCAGAGGAACGCAUGCACUGAGGAGUUUAAGAUGGAAAAAGGGGCCGGUCUGCAUUCUGUGGUUGUGUGUGCAUUGCGGAUGGACGAGGGCAGUGCUGGGGGCAGGCAACUUCCACCCGUGGGUGCCUGUACACACCGUGGGAAACAAUUCCUGGCCAUGGAGCUGCAGUGCUGGGCCUGCUGCACGGUGGCUGCUACAGCCUGCAAGCACAGGGGCUCCUGGAGCAGGCAGAGGUACAGCCAGGCAGGGCUGUCCUCACUAAUUACCUGUGCCAGGUGCAUUCCUGAAAGCAUUAUUUCUCCAAGUGGUAUUUAGCUCAUGCUCUUCUGGUGCUGGAUUAGGGGUCUGGACAGUCUCUCCUACGGCCUUGGCCAAGGCUGUGCUCAGAUACUUCCAGCGACACGCUGCUGCUCCCUCCAGCAGCAGCUGAGAAGUGACCCGCUCCCAUUAGCACUGCUCUGUGCAGCUCCACCCAGGUGCCCCGACCAGGUCAUUACCUUCCCUGGAGAUGCACAAUUCCUCCCCUUCAUCCCACCACGGAUCCACGCAGACCAUCUGUUUGUGGUCUCUUUGGCCGUACUAGAGCUUGGCUCUGUUAGACUAUCUCCAUUCUUUGCAGCCUCCCUGAAGAAGCCACAGACUUUCUCAGCAGCGCUCCAAGAAUGCAGCCUAGUGGCCUCGCCGUGCGCCCCAGCUCAUGCUGCGCUGUCACAGCUCCCAGGUGACAAACGAGCGUGCAGGGAAUGGGAAGGCUUCCAUGGGCAGCACGAGCCCCUCCUCAUCCCCCUUCAGGAGCAAGAUCAGGGCAGUGAUAACGGCUUUGUUUUAAAGGAAGAAGAGGAAGGAAAAUGGAAGUGAUGUCUACAACAACAGGAGUUGCCUCACCCAGUAUCCCAAGGACCUUGGCUGCCAAACCUGCAUGGAUAUAAACGGCUCAAACAAUGCACAGCCCUAUCUGGGGACUGCAGGAACCCCUCUUUCCUCGCAGGAUCAGAUAUGGUGUUGGCACGGAUGGCACUCCGGCCAUUGUCCCACAGCCACCGGCCGGCAGUGCCUCUCCAGCUCAGUGCUGGUGGCCUGGAGUGGCAGAAUCGCAGGAAAUCAGACCAGGUCAUAUCCCCCAUUAAAUGCAUCACGCCGCAGGGCAAUAUUUUUUCCCCAGUUGUUCUCGGUGGCUCUUUCUGGACACGAGGAGCAGUGUGACACACAAAGAACUGGCUUCCCAAAAUAACUCAGCGCGCAGUCACUGCUGGGCUGAUUCUUGGGCUACUCACGGCCACAUCCUCCCUCUGACCAAGGCCAAACGCAGCCGGCCGAAAAGCAUCCGGUGGGGCUGGGAGUGCUCCUGGGGCUGGGAGGGCAGCAUCCCGCAGUACUGGCUGACAGGGUCAGCACCUGCUGUGUUCUCCUUGUCCUGUGGUGAGCAGAGCAGGGAAAGCCCCUCUACUGCACCCCUCCUAACGCACCUGCACCAUUCAGUGCAGCUGCUGCUCCCUGCACGCGCUGCCCUCACCCUGCAGGGCCGUUUCUCCCCAUCUCCCAGCCAGCAGCAUGACCCAGCAGCCUUCUGCCUUUAAGAUAUUACCCUUAAUUAAUUUGUCUGUACCGAUACUCCUGCUAAUACUAUUAUUUGUAAUACCUCAGUGCAUCCCCGGGGAAGGGCACGAGUCUUAAUUAACAUCUGUAAAGCUGCCUGAGCACCAUUCCUGGAAAACGUGAGGCAGGGAAGGUGACUGUCGUACCACGAUGGUUUUAAAUUCUUUUUUCUUCCCCUUUUUUUUUCAGACCUCUUCAGCAGACUCCCAGAACUCUGUCUACCCAGGCUCAUUUACCAGCGUUAUCUGUGCCAGCGCAGAGCCCAUUGCCCCCUGCCCCUCUCCACAGCACAGCCCCACUGCCCUAUAGAGCAGACAGGACCCAGCAAUGCUCAUGGACUUUUUCAGCACAGCUCUCACCCCUGUCUGCAUGCACACACACACAAGAACACUCCCUCAGUGGAUACACGGAAGUUGUCCUGCAAUGCUUUGCAGCCCCCCAGCAAUAUGCAGGACCACAUUCCUGCCCACUUAGCAGCAACCCAGGGGCUGCCCAGUGCGCUCACCUCGCCGUGCGGUGCCUGAGGCCCCACUGCUGCUGUGCUGAAGCUGCUCCGCCAAAUCUCCCACAUCUUGGCCGAGCUGAGCUCCCAGGCCAGCCAGAUUUCUUAUGCUUAGCAAAAAUAUUCAUUAACGACUUAAUCUGCACACACACAGGGGAAGCUUUUAGUGUAUUUGUUCUAGGUCCGUGAAACAGUGAUCUGGCCACUGCUUUAAACUCUGCCUUGAUCUGUGAUCUCAGAGAUGAAGAAUUCAGCAAAAUGCUGCUGGGGGAGAUGUCCCGAAGCAUCCCCUGUGCUCACACUGCAGCGUAACCGCGGACACGCACCGCUCGACCCAGAAAGCGCGUGUUGCAAGAAUGUGCUUUGAGCCACAGCUCAUGGCCAAGGCCAUGGGACCAGCUGUGCUCUUGGUGUUUGUUUGCCAGCUUUGGGAUUUGUGUCACAAACUCCAUGUCAUUUGUGUCCCAGCUGCUGAAAGCACGGAGGAAGCAGAUGAAAGCCUUUCGCAUCUGCUCCCUGGGAGUGUCGGAGUUCCCCACAUGCCACCUUUAAAGCAGUUAAAAUGGCUUUGGGUCUGAGGGCUCUGGGGUCAUCAGCACUGUGGAGUCCUACACUGGGGAAGGAUUUGGCAGAAUGCAGAGGGUGAGACUCUUGGCCCUGGCUUACAUGGAGGGAGAGUGGGAUGGGAGCACAUGAGCCCAUGUCAAGGCACUGCGCUGAUGCCACAGGGGCAGAUGGCUCUGACUGCAGCACCCAGCCAUGUGGGUGCUUUGUGGCUGCCAUGUGAGCACAGCCAGGGCUCAGAAACAUCCUGCUUCUCAAGGUAUGUGCUGAGAGAGCUGAGAUGCUCCUGUGGGACAGCACGGAACCCACGGACUGAAAUAAGGCAGUGACAAUUGAUGUCCCCCUUCCCGCUCCCUCCACAGACUGUUAUGUCUGAUGCUAACCUGUUACAGCUGAUAACAGUCGCAAAUGCUGCUGCUGCUUUCAUAAAAAUUCGUGGGAUGCCAGAUUAUUUCCACGCGCAAUGGAAACCCUGGGGCCGUGUCGCAUGGCCUUCUGCCCAAACAUCUCCACCACAGCCACUGUGGAAAUGGGGCUGGGAAUGCCUUGAGGCUGGGGCUGCCCAAAGUACUGACCGCUGGCUGAGGACGGAGGGACAGAUGGACACACAGCUCCUAUAGGAGAUUCUAAGCACCGGGGGAACUCCAUGGACACGUCCCGAUGGAAGCUGAGUUCCUCAGUCCCAUGGGAACAUCCGGAGCGUGUUCCAGCCAACAGCCCCUGUGCCCUGAGCAGGAUGUGCUCCCACGGAGCAGCGCAGGGAGGGCGCGGGGAGAGCAGUUGGCAGGAGCGCAGCUGCGGCUCGGUGUGAGUUUCUGGGGGGAUUUUUAUAGGGGGAAGGCUGAUGAGUAAUAAACAAGGUGCUGCCUGAUUCUUGUUUGGAGGAAAAAGGGGAGGGAGAGAGGGGCUGAGGGGAAGAGAGAAGCACAGGGAAGAGGAGAAGGAGAAAGAAAUGACCUUGGUGAGCUUUUCUGGCUGCUCUCCAGGUAGCAGACUGAUGCCAAAAAAAUCUCCGAGUCCCUUUUGGCUGGAAGUACGCUCCCUGCGUUAGGUGAAUCACACACACAUUUCUGGAACAUUACAUGUUCACAGUUGCAAAGCUCACAGUAAUUAGAAAAACUACAAGACCAAGGCAGGGGGAAAACUAUGAGUCACACAUGGAAGCAGUGUUAUUGUGCUGCAGGAGGAUCAGCUUUGCAGACUGCCGAAGGUAAGCGUGCAUCGGCUGCACCCUGCCCUGCCUGGGGUGUGCAGGGCUGUGUGUGCACAGAGAGGCUGAGCUGCACCUGGGUGGGGUGUGAGGUUCACAUGGAAUGGCUCUGGACAAUGGAUUGCUGCUGAGGCUCUUAACUUUCUGCAGGGAUGUUCUCACCCACAGUCAGAGCGCUGCCCACAUUGAGCAUCAUCCACAUCCAACCUUGAAUUUCACCAUUCCAAAAUAAGCUCUUCUUACUGCAGAUGGAGAGCUGUAAUGCCAGGAUCUGCUCACAAGGAGUUAUUUCAGUGCAGCACCCUGCACUGGUGGGUCCACAGCUGCCGCCAGGCUACGUGUGACCAGGAGCCCACUCUCUGGCACAUACCUGCAGCAGGGGGUGACUGACCAACAGCCCACUGCUGCUCUGCAUUGAGUUGGUGUGAGAGCCCCCAGCAGCCCCCUGCAUUCAAGGGGGUUUCAUAAAUCACACAGACAGUGUUGUUUCAAAUGAACCGAUGGAUGGAGCUUUUAUCCCUUUCUUUGCAUGACCCUUCUGCUGGUAUUCAUUAACAGCACAAAGGGUGCUUUAACCUAGGAGCAAACCUGGCUCUUCUCUGUUUAGUUAACUCUCCUCCUGAGUCCUCCCAUUUGGCACAGGCAGAGCCAUGCUCCUUGUUUGUUCACUGCCUUGUGUUGAAUUACUCUGCAUCACGUUGCAUUCUGUUGUGUACUGCACUGCACUGCCUUGCAUCGUGUCGCAUCGUGUCACAUUGCAUCAGAUCAUACUGCAUGGCAUCCUGUUGCCUUGCAUGGCCUGGCAGCAUUUGCAUUACAUCACAAUAUGCACCUUUGCACCUUUGGGUGAGCUCUCAGCUGUGUCGCUGCCUGGUUCCUGAGCAGCAUGAGCUCCCGCCAGCCCAGACGCAGUGCUCCCAGAUCAGCCUUGUCCAGCAGCUAUGGGCAGAGAGGGCUGCCAGCGGUCAGUGGAGCCUCCAUUCAGGGAAGGCCAAGGAGUGGAUUACGCAGCAGAUGAUGAAGCGAUGCUAUGGACAAACCGCCCAAACACGAAAUCUUCCUGCAAUACUCCAAGACAGAUUGUUACACAUCUCUGCCAAGAAAUCAAACAUUCCUGCUAGAGUCAGGGCUUUCACAGAAGCCCCCUCCGAGACAUCAAGCGAGGCUAAGACAACAGUCCAGAGCUUUGCUAGCAAAUCAUGAGUCCCGAGUGUCUCUCCAGCUGGCAGGACCAUCACUGACCUGAAUGGCCUUGUCCUCCCCGAAGCAGCUCUGUCAAUUUGGCCACAAUCCACUUAAUAAUGUAGCUAGAGUAUAAAGAUGUAUCCAGGCCCAACCACAAAACAGCUGGAGUCUGUAGGGUUGACUUAAUCCUGGUAGAAUAAAACAGGGAAACUAGUGGGAGUCAGUGAGGAUGUUGC